ACCGUUGCGCGACGGGCGACGCGAAUGCGACGGCGGGGGUGGGGCGCGCAUCCCGGUGAAAGCUCCACAGGAUGGAAUGCGAUAAGCUGGGGACUCGGGAGCAACUUGGGCCAUGUUUAGUUACUCCCAACUCCCAACUUUGACACUAUGCAAAAAGAAGAUUCCCCAUCACAUCAAACUUGCGGUACAUGCAUGGAGUACUAAAUGUAGAUGAAAUUAAAAACUAAUUGCACAGUUUUGUUGUACUUUGCAAGACGAAUCUUUUGAGCCUAAUUAGUCAAUAUUUGGACAAUAAUUCACAAAUACAAACGAAACGCUACAGUGUGCUACAGUGCUGUAACAGUAAUUUGGCACCUCCCAAAUUCCCCAACUAAACAAGGCCUUGGCCGGGGCAACUGGGGUCCGGACGAGCUCUUCCGGAAGGCGCUGUUGCUCCGUGCAACUCGCGCAAGUGGAAAGAAGCUGUGUGUAAUCAAGUGUCUUGGCUGCGAAUUUCGGGCCCCCAACGAUUUUCCGUUCAGUGUUUGCGUCAUUGUCACUUUUGUCACAGUGGUGUGGGGAGAGCUUUGAUCUGCUCAUAAGAUUUUCAAAAAAAUUGUACAAAAAGUGUAGGGAGGCGAUGAGGGCCAUGUUUAGUUACUCCCAACUUCCAACUUUGACACUAUGCAAAAAGAAGAUUCCCCAUCACAUCAAACUUGCGGUACAUGCAUGGAGUACUAAAUGUAGAUGAAAUUAAAAACUAAUUGCACAGUUUUGUUGUACUUUGCGAGACGAAUCUUUUGAGCCUAAUUAGUCAAUAUUUGGACAAUAAUUCACAAAUACAAACGAAACGCUACAGUGUGCUACAGUGCUGUAACAGUAAUUUGGCACCUCCCAAAUUCCCUAACUAAACAAGGCCGAGAUUAAGAAGAACAAUCCGCUUUGUUCUUUGUCAAUACCAAUGAGUGCGGCAGCGGCAUCAUCUGAUAAAUAUCCAGCGGCUAACCAGGAGCG
rnacentral:lncRNA from 1 species